CCGUAUCAACCCAAUAAUUUGGGGGUUAAUUUGGUAAGGCUGCUGGCAUCUUUUUGUUGGCUGGCUGUUACUGAGUAAGCCCUAUCAUGGCGAGAGUUUGGACCUUUGUCUGAACAAGUAGCUACGAUUGUAAACCCUUUCUUAAUUACUGAAUAUACUGUGGGGACGAAAGUCUCUGCUUUUAACUAGAUAACAACUUUCAGCAGUGGAUGUCUAGGCUCGCACAUCGAUGAAGAACGCUGCGAACUGCGAUACGUAAUGCGAAUUGCAGGAUUCAGUGAGUCAUCGAAAUUUUGAACGCAUAUUGCACUUCCGGGUUAGUCCUGGAAGUAUGCCUGUAUCAGUGUCCGUACAACAAACUUGGUUUUCUUCUUUCCGUUUAGUCGGUGGAGGAUAUGCCAGAUGUGAAGUGUCUUGCGAUUGAUUUUUGUAUCGGUUGCGAGUCCUUUUAAACGUAAAACACUGUACUUCUCUUUGCUCGAAAAGCGUGGCGUUGCUGAUUGUGAAGGCUGUCCAUGUGACCAGUCGGCGAUCGUUUUGUCUACUAUGGCGUUUAAUGGAGAAAUAUUUGAUUCGCGGUAUGAUUGGCUUCGGCUGAACAGGCGCUUAUUGAAUAUUUUUCGUGCUAUGGCGGUAUGAACUUGAUGAACCGUAGUCGUAUGUUGACUUGGCUUUUGAAUUGGCUUUGCUGUUGCGAAGUAGAGUGACAGUUUCGGCUGUACGAGGGUCGACCGAUUUGGGAAAUUUUUGAUGCGACUUCGGUUGCGUUGCAUCUCAACUCGACCUGAUAUCA
rnacentral:rRNA from 1 species